AGCCCGGGCGCGUUAGAAAUCCCCUGCCACCAGCACUUGUUAGUGCGUAAAUCACCUGGCACUCGCUACGCAUAAAUCACGGGCUUGUGUGCUGUCAGCGAGUUCCCCUGGAGCUGGGGUCUGGGACCUUUCCUGCCGGGGAAUCCCAGGGAGCCCGGGCUGCUGUGACUGGGCUGCCCUGUCCCGGUGGCGGGGGCUGGAUCUUCUGCUGGGUCCAAAGUUGCGGCUGAGCGUUUCGUUGGCUGCUAACCUCUGGGUGCCGGCACGAUUCUGUGCGUUAUUACGUUUUUAAUUGGGAUCCCCUCCAUCCCUUCCCACUGCCCGGGCAAGAGCAGAGCCUGGAGGGUCCCAGAGGCAGCAGCAGACAGAGCCUGGGAUGAUGCUCCAGGGGGAAGGAAGGCUGUCCUCACCUGGUCACAGGCUCCGGUGUUUCUCCCCUUUCCAUGCUGGGGUCUGCCCGGUUUCUCAGUAGCAAACCUCGGUGGUUUGGAUGUUGCAACAUCAGGCCUUUGCGUGUCUCCAGUGCGAGCACAGCGCCUUGAUGAAUUGCUGCUCUUUGUUUCCUCCCCUCUUCUGACAGUGCCCAGUAUUCCAGCCUUCCUACAAACAAUGCUCUCUUGUAGUCAGGCAACUAUUGCUGGCCCAUUUUAUUUUUUUGCAGCUACAGUAUGGAUCCACUCCAACAGAUAGGCACUCUAACACAAGCAACUUCUACUUGCACACUGCUUUACUGUUCAGGUUUGCUCAUGCCUAAACACUUCAUCACUGGGUGCAAAACAUUUUCCCAAAUGACAAAAGUCACGGAGUACAUUUUCCUUGUUUUGUUUUUGCAGGCACACAAUGGGGAUCUUACAGUUAGACCCACAUGCAAGCCUGGCUUCUCAGAACAAGACUACACAGCAUUCAUCUCCCAGAACAUCAUGGAGGGGCAGAAGUUACUCAAAGAAUCCUUUGAAGAACACAUUUAAAUUGGACUCGUUGGAAGGAGAUUUAAAACUGACCUGUUCAGAGGUGAGUAGUGAAAAAGAUGUGAUGGAAUGAGGCUGCAUUCCUUCAAUAUUGAGGCAUUUUGCCUUAAGUUUUUCUUUCCUGAGGUGGCUUUUGGAG
ensembl:lncRNA